GGGCUGGGUUUUCCUGUGAAUCACCGUUCCUUGAUUCUGAGAUUUCGGAGGGUACGAAGAAGAGCAGUAGCUGAAAGAUUUACCUGCUGAUUUGGGCUUCUUAAAUCUAGAUUCGCCUUUUAUGUGUUUAAGAGCGAUAUUUACAUUCAAAUCAGCCUUUUAUAAUUGCAUUUUAAAUUAUAAUGAAAUGAUGGAGCCGGGGCUGCGGUCUUCCCUAGGUUUUUACAGUACGAGCCACUCUGCUGGGCUGCAUGUCACAUUCCCCCCCCCCCCCCCGCCCCCGGGUUCCCCACCAGGCGUAAACAGGCCUUGGCAGGGGGCUGCUGGCCUGGAGGACCCCCUGUGCCCUGAGCGCGUCAGGGUCCGUGCAUGUCACCUGCGGGGCCCUCCCCGCCCUGCCAGGAGGGAAAGGGCUUGUGGCUGGGGAUUCUGGCCCCAACCCAGUGGCAAGGCUGCCAAGCCUUGCGGCAUGCGGUUCAGUCUGAGAAGGGCCUGGUUUGGGCCUGGCUGUGUCCUGGGCCCCGCGCUGACCCGCCGCCCUAGGGUCGAGGCCACUAUCUCCUGGAUGGCCAGCGGGGCACAGCAGCGGCCGCUUCUGGUGGUGGUGACGUUGGGUGUGUCGGGGUGGGGGCCUGCCCGCCUUCUCCUGCAGCCCUAAGCCAGGUUGCACCUCCUUUCUCCCAUCGGGGUGGCACCCAGAUGGCCCCGUGGUUUUCAGUGGCUUCCCCCAGGGAGCUCGAGGGACCCUCUCCUCCUGGGGCCAGGUUGUUGGCAGCCGUGCCAAGCCGUUCCUGGAAUGGCAUUCCCAGCGUUCCUGGUCGGGCGCGUGGCAUCGGAAUCCUACCUGCUUUGUCUCUGGCAUCAGCUGGUGAGCUAGUCACGUGGCCGUGUGCGUGAGCCCGGAGCCCGAGGACCAGAGGACUCCUCCCGGCUGCUUCCUUCUUGCUCGCUCACCCCCCCACCCUUGUGCUUUGGGCACGGCCGUCUCUGAGCAGGCAUAAAGCAGUAUUACAAUAAAACGUACUCCAGGCAGCCGGGGGAGCUCCAUCCACAGAUGCUGAGGGUGCAGCCCGCCCCGGCCCUCCCAUCGCUACCUACCCGCAGAAAGGCCCGCCAGCUGGGGAGCAGGCCCGGGGCCCGUGGUGAGCUCUGGCCGCCGCGGCCCAGCCUCAGUCCCCCCAUGCUGUCUCUUCUGCUCCCAGAGCUGGCCUUGCCUGCCCGGGGGCCCCUGCCCACGCUUGCAGCCUCUGGCUCACCCUGCACAGGGACAGCCCGCGGUCAUCGCCUCAGCUCCUGGCCACAGAAAGGGCCGAAGGCUGGCCGCGUGGCCCGGUGCCUGCAGGAGAGGGCCGCCCGGUCUGAUAGCUCUCCAAAUCCAAGGGCCCACCUUAGAACCUCGGGCCCACUCAUCCAGGUCAGGCAGGGCCGCCUUUCGUCCCUGGGGUGGGGAUUUGCCCUGGUGAAACCGGUGGAUCUGUGACCGUCCGUGUGGCGUGCGGUGAGGGUCCGGGAGCCGACCCUGGUGCCUGGCUGUGUGCGUUUCUGAUCGUGUCAUCUCUGCAGGCCCCCAAGUGGUAGGAGCCACGGUCUGUGUGCCGAGUACAGGGUACGGCGGGCGGGGGGAAUCUGAGGCUGGCAGAGGUGGCCUGGCCGGCCCAGGGGCAGGUGGCCGCUCGGAUGCAGGGCCAGGGCAAAGCGGGGGGGCCCGGCUCUCAGUCCGGCCGCCCCAGCCUCCCGGGGCGUGGGCUGGAGUGGGCUCGCCCCGGUGCUGGCCGCCGCCUGCCCCGCGGCCGGCGGGCCCGGCGCGGGAACAAUGCGGCCUCUAUCCCCCGAGCAGGCGGGCCGCCUGCAACAUGGCGCCCGGGCCGCGCCGCCUGUGCGCAGGGAGGGCUGGCACCCGGGCUGGCACCCGGGCCGGCCCGGCUCCCGGCGUCCCCCUCGGGCCGGCCGCUGAGUGGCCAGACGCUCCUGCUGCCUCCGCCCUCUCCCACUCGGCCGGCCCCCCUUCCCGGUGGUGGGUUUGGGGGUCCGGCCCACCCGCCUCUGCCACGUCUGCCAUCCUCCCGGCACCCAUGAGCAUCUUUCAAAAAUUCCCGGUGGGCGGGGCCGAGCCGCAGCGGCUGCCUCUGGCCCCCCCUUCCCCGGGCAGCCAGUGCCAGAUGAGAGCAGGAGACAAAAGUAGCAUUUUCCUCGUCCCCCUGGGCUGGCAGCAGGGCCUCCCUACCGCCACUUGGCUCCUGGCAGCCCUGCCUCCGGGGGCCAGGGUGGCCAAGGCCCAGGCUGCGCCGGCCAGGACCGAGGGACCGAGGGACGGUGGUGGCCGGAGACCAGGCGCCCGAGGGCCUGCGGGACCGGGGCUGGCCCCCCCCCGGGCCAGCGGGACCUGCCCUCCUCCGCUUGCCACGGGGACCGCCGGCCGGGGACACCGUGUUCGCUUCCCGGCUUCGCGAUGCUGCGCGUCCUCCCGCACCGGGUGAGUCCCUUCCUCCCUCCUCCCGGGCCGGAGACAAGGAGGGCUCUGCCAUCUUGUGUCGGUGCGGGUUAGCGUUUCCUUGGCUCUAAUUGGUUCUCCGAAAUUCAAAAUUCUAUUUCAGGGCCCCCCCCAUAUCUUCAGUGAAGUAAGCCCUUCCAAAAACUGCAGGGAAAAUGUAGACGCCAAACCUGGUUAUUUUUAAGAUCCAAAGCCACAGGCUUGAGGAAUCAUCAUAAAAAUGAAUGUUUGUUAUCUCACAGUAGCUGCAUGUUCAAUUAUCAUUUGAACGACUGUUUCAGGAGGUAUUCGUACGCACGGCCUACUCUUUCAUGCUCAGUUGUGUCAGUUUCGGGGGGGGGGGUCUCAUUAUUAUUAUCAUCAUCAUUGUCAUUAUUAUUUUAAUUUUGGGUGGUGCCAGGGGUGGCACAGGGAAAAACACCAGAACCAUCCAUGCUCCUUCCAGCAAACUCCUCGGCAGGCAGGGCCAGGCUGGCACACGGGAGGGUGGGUGCUGCUUUGAGAAACAGAGGCCCUUUCAUUUCAUCCGGCAUCUUGAAUGCUGCCAUGUCCACAAGUUUAGGAAUCCAGUUCUUUCUCCCUUUUAUUUUAUUUUUGGGGGGGCCGGGGGGGGGAAGAAGAAGCUCUUUUCGGUGCUCAGCUCAGUGUGGGGGAAAUCUCUUCGGUUGUUUGGGGCUUUGUUUUUUUAAGCACUUAUUUAAGCCCGGGGCUUCCAGCUAGCCUUGCCCUGCCUGGUUUAUAACUGCCCUGCCCACAGACGGCUCACGGGGGGCACGUCCACCAGACCAGCCCUCGGGGGCCCUGAGUGGUCCCAGGGCCUGCCUGUGCCCUGAUCCUGUCCUGGUUUCCCACCUGCAGAGCUGUGGCCCCAGCCAUCCUGACUGGCCAGGGCUGAACGGUGGACCGUCGGGCAGGGAGUCAGUCCCCAGGCCACGCUGCCGCUGCUGUCCAGGAACUGGGGUCCAUGGCUGCCCGCGUUUCUCUGUUGGUCCCUGAAGCUUUUCAUUUAAGACGUGGUCUUUGCAGAGUGCAGCUCCAAGCUCACCUCGCUCCUCUGGCAGGCUGACAAAGCUCCCGCAGACACAGCCUGGGUUCCCCACGUUCGAGGGUAGCCAGGGUCUUGAUUUACAGAACAUGGGAGAUCAGGCCCAGGAAGUGCUGGGGUGCAACUCAGAGGAAAAUUCCCACGUAAAUAGGUUUUUUGGUUAUUUUCUGGCAUCAGAGGCGUUCGGGUCCUGUGUGUGCCGGCCUGAGCCGCCGGCUGGCCGGAGCAGACACCAGCAAAUGUUGAAAGUGAGCUCAGCGCACGAGGAAUAUCUGCGGCCGCUUUUGUUCUUAGAUUAGACAGCAGUCGGUACUGGAGGACUUGGGGCUGCAGAGACAGGCAUCUCUGUAGCAGAGAUAAUUAAAACAUUUUCAUGACUAUGACAGCCACAUUCUGCUGCUGCAAGCUGGAAGAUCACUCCACCCAAAUAUUUAGCAAGCACCAAAUAAAACACUGGUGGCAAAAUAAAAGUAAUAGCAAGAAACAGAGUGUCAUAAAUUCUAAAGGCAGAGGAGUCGAGAGACUAGAGAAGCUGGUAGAGGGGGCGGGGAGGGGGGUAAUCAUUUGGAAAGAAUUUAGACUUCUCAGAGCUGCCCACUCCUCCUUUUUUUUUUAAUUUUAUUUUUUGUUAUAAUUAACGUUGGUGAAUCGGCCUUUAAUUCUAAAUCCUGGAGCGAUAGUCCCAUUUCCUGAGAGUUAACUCGCCGUCUUUUUGGACAGGGUAGGGGCAGGUAGCAUAAAAUCAAUUAAUCUCCAUAAAUGAGCAUUUUCCCUCUAAAUUAGUAUCUUCCUCUGAGGUUCUGUUCCUCUAAUCGUCUUACUGUAUCUGGAUAAUACAUUUUCCAGCAUACAUCUUAUGCAGUUGGGAUAGUUAGAUGAGACCAAAUAUCAUCUUAGUUUUUUAACUCGGGUCGUAACACUUUAUCUUUCCCAAACAGUAAAAUUCCAUGAAGGUUUUUGUUUGUUUGUUUGGUUUUGUUUUUUUAAUCAGGCAAAAAUAUCAGCAUUCUCCAUGGUACCCAGUACGUAGCGAUAUUUUUUUCGAAGAAAGUACCACGCAUCUCAGUUUUCACAUGAUCUCGCUUCUAUAUAAAUUCCACUAUAGACUGAAAUUAUACAUUCUCGCAGCACAGAUGGGCUGGUCUGUCAUUACGACUGCUGGGUCCUUGUUGGAACACACAGCAUAUUUCAGUGUGGCGUCGACAAUUUCGAAGAACUGAGGUCAAAAUAAACAAGUUGCAUUUGUGUAUAAAAACAGCCUUAUUAAAUGAUCUUCUGAUCCCCCGGGGGGGGGGGAAAUGGGUAGAGGAACAACCAUCACCUUCAUUAAACUUUAAUUUCACAUUUGAUCUUUCAGCUGCACCUUUUGAAGACUCCAAACGCCUUCUGUCAGAGGAGCUUACCUGUUGUAAUCAAUUACCAAUUUUUAGUCUUGUUUGCCUCAUGAACGGUGUGACCCUAGGUGUAUAUUCAAAAUGAUGGGGUUUGGCACUUUUUGAUUUUAAUAUCAUCAUAAUCUCUAUAGGAAAGACAUUCAGUCCUUAACUGUCCUAUGUAGACGUCCAUAAAAUUAUUUUGAGAAGCUUCCCCAAAAAUCAGAUGAUCACUAUUUUGCCUGGUCGAAAGGUACAUUGAAGUCCCAGCUGAAAUAAAUAAGUAAAUAAAUAAACUCAACAGGUAAACGACACAGAGUAGC
rnacentral:lncRNA from 1 species